GAUGAUCAGCCACACUGGGACUGAGACACGGCCCAGACUCCUACGGGAGGCAGCAGUAGGGAAUAUUGCACAAUGGGCGAAAGCAUGAUGCAGCAACGCCGCGUGCGGGAAGAAGGCCCUAGGGUUGUAAACCGCUUUCAGCAGGGAAGAAAAUGACGGUACCUGCAGAAGAAGGUGCGGCCAACUACGUGCCAGCAGCCGCGGUGACACGUAGGCACCAAGCGUUGUCCGGAUUUAUUGGGCGUAAAGAGCUCGUAGGCGGUUCAGUUAGUCGGGUGUGAAAACUCUGGGCUCAACCCAGAGACGCCACUCGAUACUGCUGUGACUAGAGUGCGGUAGGGGAGCGGGGAAUUCCUAGUGUAGCGGUGAAAUGCGCAGAUAUUAGGAGGAACACCAGUGGCGAAGGCGCCGCUCUGGGCCGUAACUGACGCUGAGGAGCGAAAGCGUGGGUAGCAAACAGGAUUAGAUACCCUGGUAGUCCACGCCGUAAACGUUGGGCACUAGGUGUGGGUCUCAACCAACGAGAUCCGCGCCGUCGCUAACGCAUUAAGUGCCCCGCCUGGGGAGUACGG
rnacentral:rRNA from 1 species